CUUUGAUAGGAGCAUGCUGUAGUUCUGGUCCCCUGACCAGGGUUAGGUGUGUGCUUAUGGCUUAAACAAGCAGAUGAAGAGGUGAGAGUGAGGAUUUCAGCCUGACCAGCAUUCAUACACUCAAAAGAUGUUUACUGAGCGCCUGCAUGCACCAGGUGCUGUGCUGAGUCCAGAACAGCGGCCUAGGCAGGAGCACCAACUCUGCCCUCUAAUGGAGGUACUGCAGGAAAUGUAAGUGAGCCAACCCGUGAAAUGACUGCACGCUGUCAAAUGCAAAUAAGAAAUCGAGCUACAGCAUUGGUGUGUGUGUGUGUGUGUGUGUGUGUGUGUGUGUGUGUGUGUGUGUGGUGGGGAGGGAAUACUUGUGAAAGGCAGAUCAAGAUGCCUUCUUGGGGAGGGGACAGUGAAGCUGAGACCCAGUGGACUGUUGGAGCCACAUGUGGUAAGGGAGGGGCUGUCCUGGCAGAGGGAGGAGGGUGAGAUGGGGAAGGCUGGGCCUGUCCUCAAGGUGGAAGGAAGCCUCAGUGAGCAAAGAGUAGGAGGAAGCUGGACCUCGAUUGUCUUGGGCUUUGGGCCUUGUGCCUCGGGCAGGCGUUUAGAUUUUAUUUUAAGUACAAGGGGAAGCAAUUGCAGGGACUUAGGGUAGGGAUGACACCUGUGAUUUCUGUCUUGAGAUCACGUUUGCUGCUGCGUGGAGAAUGGAUUACAUGUUGGGUAAGAGUGGACACAGAGAGACCAGUUUUACACGACUGUCCUGUUCUGUAUCCAAGUGGAAAGCAUGAGGCCCUGGAUUGGGGAAGACAGAGAAGCCUACAGUGGGCACUGGGCAAUGAAUUAGGUACUACUGAUGACGGCAAGAGAUGCUACUUGAUGAUUUCUUUUUUUUUUUUUUUUGUGGCAAUUGUGAAUGGCAGUUCGUUCUUGAUUUGGCUCUCUUUAAGUCUGUUAUUGGUGUAUAGGAAUGCUUGUGAUUAUUUCUUAAUGAAGCCUGAAUUCCAUAGCACAGGAGUUAAAGCUGCUCUUCCGUGCUGUUUGCCAUGUUGCCCAGGUUGGUCUUGA
rnacentral:lncRNA from 1 species